GUGGAAGAAAAGUUACUUUUGGAUUGAGGAUGACAGAAUUAGGACUGAGCACAAAAUUUAUAAGUACCAAGCCGAGAAUUACAAUCUUGAGAAAGCAAAUAAGGAACUUUUUCAGCAAAUAGAGGUAUUUGUUGGAGCUAUGAAAUCUGUAAAAGCCUUAACAAGAAAUGCUGAUGAAGAAAAGAGGAUUGCCAAAAUUGAAGGAGAGAAGACUGAGCAAUCUAGGCUUCUACCUUAUAGUAAAGAUUGAAACUGAAGCAAAAUCAAAGCCUGCCUGCAAAGACAAAGUUUGAAUGAACAAAGAGAGAACUUGGAUUUGUUGGGUAUUUUGGUCUUUAGAAAGAGGACACCGUGCUCAAGUUGGACCUACAUGUUAUUCGAACAUAUUUAUUUAUGAAUUUUUAUAAUUUUCGGAAA